GACGAACGCUGGCGGCGUGCUUAACACAUGCAAGUCGAGCGAUGAAGUUCCUCGGGAAAUGGAUUAGCGGCGGACGGGUGAGUAACACGUGGGUAACCUGCCUCAUAGAGGGGAAUAGCCUUUCGAAAGGAAGAUUAAUACCCAAUGAUAUCUCUAGAAGACAUCUGAAAGAGAUUAAAGAUUUAUCGCUUCAAGAUGGCCUCGCGUCUGAUUAGCUAGUUGGCGGGGUAACGGCCCACCAAGGCGACGAUCAGUAGCCGGACUGAGAGGUUGAACGGCCACAUUGGGACUGAGAUACGGCCCAGACUCCUACGGGAGGCAGCAGUGGGGAAUAUUGGGCAAUGGGCGCAAGCCUGACCCAGCAACGCCGCGUGAAGGAAGAAGGCUUUCGGGUUGUAAACUUCUUUUAAGAGGGAAGAGCAGAAGACGGUACCUCUAGAAUAAGCCACGGCUAACUACGUG
rnacentral:rRNA from 1 species